rnacentral:lncRNA from 1 species
CUUGUUCUUGAAUCCAGAUGUUACCAUGUUUACCCCAAGUGGCUGUGGGAAAGGAUUCUCGUCCACUGCCAUCUUUUUCUUAUCGUCGAACGUAAUUCGUCCUGACUCAAUAGCAUCCUGCAAUACGUGACGAAAAACCAAGCAAUUGUUAGUCAAAUGUGACCAUGCAUUAUGCCACUUACAAUAUUUUUUACCCUUUAUUUGUUCAGGGUUUGGCAAUUUGUGCUUAUCGCUCAGUUUUAUUUGCUUAUCCCUAUAUAACUUAUCGAAUAUAAGGUCAGCUUUGGUUACAUCGAACGAGAACGUUCUAGCCUUUAUGUUUCCAUCCUUUACGGGUUCAUCUUUGCCCGAUG